UACGUAGGGGCCUAGCGUUGUCCGGAUUUAUUGGGCGUAAAGAGCUCGUAGGCGGUUCGGUAAGUCAGGUGUGAAAUCUCCACGCUCAACGUGGAGGCGCCACCUGAAACUGCCGUGACUCGAGUCCGGUAGGGGAGUGUGGAAUUCCCGGUGUAGCGGUGAAAUGCGUAGAUAUCGGGAGGAACAUCAGUGGCGAAGGCGGCCUUCUGGUCCAGUACUGACGCUGAGGCGCGAAAGCUAGGGGAGCAAACAGG
rnacentral:rRNA from 1 species